rnacentral:rRNA from 1 species
GACAGAGGGUGCAAACGUUGUUCGGAAUUACUGGGCGUAAAGCGUGUGUAGGCGGCUACGCAAGUCGGAUGUGAAAGCCCCGGGCUCAACCCGGGAAGUGCACCCGAAACUGCGUGGCUCGAGUACCGGAGAGGUUGGUGGAAUUCUCGGUGUAGAGGUGAAAUUCGUAGAUAUCGAGAGGAACACCGGUGGCGAAGGCGGCCAACUGGACGAGUACUGACGCUGAGGUGCGAAAGCGUGGGGAGCAAACAGG